rnacentral:rRNA from 1 species
GACGAACGCUGGCGGCGUGCUUAACACAUGCAAGUCGAACGGAAAGGCCCUGCUUUUGUGGGGUGCUCGAGUGGCGAACGGGUGAGUAACACGUGAGUAACCUGCCCUUGACUUUGGGAUAACGUCAGGAAACUGGGGCUAAUACCGGAUCGGAGCUCCUGCUGCAUGGUGGGGGUUGGAAAGUUUCGGCGGUUGGGGAUGGACUCGCGGCUUAUCAGCUUGUUGGUGGGGUAGUGGCUUACCAAGGCUUUGACGGGUAGCCGGCCUGAGAGGGUGACCGGCCACAUUGGGACUGAGAUACGGCCCAGACUCCUACGGGAGGCAGCAGUGGGGAAUAUUGCACAAUGGGCGGAAGCCUGAUGCAGCAACGCCGCGUGCGGGAUGACGGCCUUCGGGUUGUAAACCGCUUUCGCCUGUGACGAAGCGUGAGUGACGGUAAUGGGUAAAGAAGCACCGGCUAACUACGUG